rnacentral:tRNA from 1 species
CAAAAAGUAGUUUAAAAAAAAUUCAAGCUUUGGGAGUUUGAGAUGUGAAUUUCAUCUUUUUGA